rnacentral:rRNA from 1 species
UACAGAGGUCUCAAGCGUUGUUCGGAUUCAUUGGGCGUAAAGGGCGCGUAGGCGGCGGGGUAAGUCUGGUGUGAAAUCUCGGAGCUCAACUCCGAAAUUGCACUGGAUAACUGCUCUGCUUGAGGGUUGGAGAGGAGAUCGGAAUUCACGGUGUAGCAGUGAAAUGCGUAGAUAUCGUGAGGAAGACCAGUGGCGAAGGCGGGUCUCUGGACAGUUCCUGACACUGAGACACGAAGGCCAGGGGAGCAAACGGG